AAGUCGUAACAAGGUCUCCGUAGGUGAACCUGCGGAGGGAUCAUUACCCAAAUAUGAAACGCAGACUGGGCACCCUCGAGGAGCGAUUCGUCGUCCCCCUCCUGGGCCGGUCUGACGCCAUAUUCACCCAUGUCUUUUGCGUACUACUUGUUUCCUUGGCGGGUUCGCCCGCCAUUAGGACCCAACCAUAAACCUUUUUGUAAUUGCAAUCAGCGUCUGAACAAUGUAAUAAAUUACAACUUUCAACAACGGAUCUCUUGGUUCUG
rnacentral:misc_RNA from 1 species